GAAAUUCAUAUAAAAUAUUAAAAGAUUUACUACAAUUUAUUGAAAUAUUAAAAAUUUAUAGGCCUGCCAUUUCGGCCUUUAGAAUUGAAUGGACGUAUCUCACCGCGUGUCGUAAAAGGCGACUAAAGGGAGCACGAAAUAAAGUUUGACACUCAAAUAUAGAUAAUCCUCUAAUUGCUAAAAUAAUUUCGUUGUUGAAAUAGUUUUGUUAAGUUUUAAAAAAAAAUAAUAUUAAUUCUUAAUAUUAAACAUGAUGCCAGUUAAAUACAUUUUUGUAAUUUAAGGUGAUAAACAAAAAUAUAAUCAUAAUUGUUUUAAUUUCGACAUGACUAAAAUAGCUGAUGAAUUAUAUAAUAUAGUUCGAUUCACAAAUUUGGGAAUUAAUUCGUCAAACUCUAUUUCGCGAAUUAAUUGAUACCACAGUACAUGGGCUCUCAAAUUCAAGAAAACUUAUCACUUGCAAUAUGGCUAUAAUCUUCUCUUUUUUAUAAGAUGUCCUGUCAAUGAUGAAAAAAAUGAUCAAUGAUAUUAUAUUAGCAAAUUGCAGGCGAACAACAUUAUCGUAAAAAAGUCUUCUUACACCUCGUUUACCAGUAGACUUUGGCUGUGUUAAAUAUCCAAGGUGAUUCCACUGUGGCAUUAUAAUCUUCGUCCUAGCGUAACGCCUAACGCUCUAUCUCAAGGACUGCUAUAAAAGAAGUGAGGAUAAUAUUCCUUCUUUACAGUGAAUUUUUUUCCUGCACCCAAGUGAAGUGGAGGAAGUGUCUUUAGUAUAAAUUUUUCAAUUGUUGACGAAAGAAAAUUACUCUCGAGUAUAACUAUACCAGUAUAUUAUUUUGUACAUCAGAAGGAUUAGCUUUAUUUUAUCUUUGUCCAGUGAUUUAAAAUAAAUAUAUAGUUCUUUUUUUAUGA